GACGAACGCUGGCGGCGUGCUUAACACAUGCAAGUCGAACGGAAAGGCCUCUUUCGGGGGGUACUCGAGUGGCGAACGGGUGAGUAACACGUGAGUAACCUGCCCUUGACUUUGGGAUAACUUCAGGAAACUGGGGCUAAUACCGGAUAGGAGCUCCUGCUGCAUGGUGGGGGUUGGAAAGUUUCGGCGGUUGGGGAUGGACUCGCGGCUUAUCAGCUUGUUGGGGGGGUAGGGGCUUACCAAGGCUUUGACGGGUAGCCGGCCUGAGAGGGUGACCGGCCACAUUGGGACUGAGAUACGGCCCAGACUCCUACGGGAGGCAGCAGUGGGGAAUAUUGCACAAUGGGUGGAAGCCUGAUGCAGCAACGCCGUGUGCGGGAUGACGGCCUUCGGGUUGUAAACCGCUUUCGCUCAUGACGAAGCUUUGUGUGACGGUAGUGGGUAAAGAAGCACCGGCUAACUACGUG
rnacentral:rRNA from 1 species